CAGUAACAGUAAUUGGAUGACUAUGGUUCCUGCAAGCGCGCGAGGUACAGCACCCUCUGUUGACUCCUCUCACGGCGCUUCAGCCCCCUUCCUUCAAUGCCAUAGCUUCUUUCCCUCUCCAUCCCUGUCACUGGCCCGCAGUACAUCUCAACCCUUGCAGCCCUCCCAUAUCUAGCCAUAUCUCUCCCUCAACUGACUCCCUCCCCCAUCGACAAAUCCAGCUUCUGGGCUUCCUCUUCUUUUUCCUCCUCGUCCUCUUACUCUAUCGCUUCUUCUUAUUUACUUAUGUAUUCAAUUUCUGUUUCUUUUUUGCGUCAGCGUCUGCCCGCAGCUUUGAUGACGCACCAGUGGGGAGAAAUUCGGUUGUUCUGGUAACGCCUGGGAAAAUCUGGACCCAGGUGAAGCAGGAAGCGCAAAGCCUGACGAGCAAUGGCUUUAGAGCUCUGACGACCAGCCUUGCUUUGCUUUUUUUCCACUUGGGGUGGUAGAGACGAAGACGAAGACGGGGAAAAGACGAACAAUACGGAGAAUCUGUUGCUGGUGCAGCAGUUGUUGCAACUCUGACUAGCAGCUUUUCACAGAGAUGGCAUGCACAGGAAGAGUUCCUCCCUCGCUCUCCAUCUCAGGGAGUGCCCAUGAACACCGAAACCCAUCACCAUCUUCUUCGCCUUCGCCCUCCCAUUCCUACCUUCGUUGAUGAUGGCCUUCGCCGCCGCUACUGCAGCCAUGGAACCUGGUCUCACAUCCAACACCAACACCAUCACCAUCACCACGCAACUCUGUCUCCUGCUCUGAGGAGUUCAGCCACCCGGGACUAGCGCUCUGAUCUUGUGCCAUGCUAUCUCUUCGUCUUGUGCUUCUUCUUCGUCCUCCUCUGGGGACGUGAGACACAGGGAACUGGACUUCCGAUCUUAUGCCAUGCUUUCUCGUCGUCUUCUGCCUGGUGUUGGCUCCUGUCUGAAACUACUCCUCUGGGUUGAUUUCUAUUUCUCUCGUUUUUAUUUUAAUGAAUGAUUGAGUUUUUUUAUUUAUUUAUUUUCAUUUUAAAAUUGGAACAAGUUGAUGAAUUUGUUUGAACUUUUAUUGACAUUUAGAAGUCAAAAAUGCAAUUCUUCAAGUCACAAAGUGAAACUCUAUUUGCAAAACUGAAUGAAUGAAUAUGAAAAUGAGGGUGAUAGUGAUAUCGAGAAGGUUAUAUUUGUGGAUUCUUUUAUUUAUAUAUUUAUUUUUAUGGAGAAUGAUGGUUGUAAGAUUUUUAGGAUUCUAUGUUGAUUUUUUGUUGAAGAGAUAAACUUUUAGGCUGUAGAGCUAUGGUUUUCUAUUGGAAAAAUGGUGUUCAUAAUUAAAGGUCAUAAUUAAAGGUAAUUUAGCACAGCUAUUCUGUUCUAGUGAAAACUAUUUGUUUUAAUGGAUUGCUAGUGAAUAUAUAAGAAUGCA
rnacentral:lncRNA from 1 species